rnacentral:misc_RNA from 1 species
GAAGGAUCAUUAACACAAAGUCCAUUUGAAUGAAUAUGAAUUUGGAAGGAAGGAAACUUUCAUUCAAUUCAAUUCAUUUCAAACCAAUAGCGAAUAGUUAAAGUUAUCAAUUAAAGUUUUUAUAUCAAACUUUUAAAGUUGAUUAACUAGAGAUUCACGUUCAAUGGAUGAUAAGAUUCGUCUUAUUAAUUCAUUCGACUGAUAUUGUUGAAAAACAAAAUAAAUAUAACCAAGACAACUUGUAACAGUGGAUACCUUGGUUCCCAGGUCGAUGAAGAGCGCAGCGAACUGCGAUAAGUCAUGUGAAUUGCAGAAUUCCGUGAAUCAUCGAACUCUUGAACGCAAAUUGCAUUUAGGUGUUGAGCCUAAAUGUGCCUGCUCGAGUGUCGGCAAUAAAUACUCAAUAAGAAGUGAUUCUAAUUGAUAUUGAGAGUUUAUUAUUAGUAAUAAUCUCUUUAAAUGAAUGGAAAUUGGAUUCAAAAGUUGUUGAAAUAACAAAUCUUUGAUGAAUUCAAUAACAAGUGAAUUAAAUGACUCAGGUCGUCUUUUUCCUUGUUAUUCAUCAAUAAUAUGUUUUUUUAUAUAACGAAUUCAAUCAAAUUCCUUGUCUACCGAUAUUAUUCAAUAUUAAAGACACUUUACUCAAUUUCUCGACCUCGAAUUAGGCAAGAUCACCCGGUGGACUUAAGCAUAUUAUUAACCGGAGGAAAAGAAACUAACAAGGAUGCCCUCAGUAACGGCGAGUGAAGCGGGCAAAGCUCAAAUUUAAAAUCUGGACUUCUGCGGGAGUUCCGAAUUGUAGUUUUUGGGAUCGUUAGUCACGGGGUUGUCAAUCUGGGAGUAAGUUCUUUGGAACAAGGCAUCAUAGAGGGUGAGAAUCCCGUAUAUGACCUGAUUGAUGAUUCAAUACGUGUCUAGCUUUUCACGAGUCGGGUUGUUUGGGAUUGCAGCCCUAAAUAGGUGGUAGAUCUCAUCUAAAGCUAAAUAUUCCUGGGAGACCGAUAGCGAAGAAGUAGUGUGAACGAAAGGUGAAAAGAACUUUGAAAAGAAGGUGAAAAGUACUUGAAGCUGUUCCAAGGGAACCGCAAGGAACCAGUGAUUACUUGUGGAUUAUUCAGGAGUAGAUUCAAAGAUUGUGCCGGAUAAAGGGUGCUGUAUGGUCCCGAUUACUGGGCAAUUGAGAAUUUGCUUCUUAUUUAAUUUAUGAGUGUGUCAACAUCAUUUUGUUGUAAUGGAGAAAGGUAGAGGUAAGGUAGGUUAGGCUUUCGGGUUUAACUGUUAUAGACCUUUAUUGCAUACAUUAUAAUGGAAUGAGGAAACAAAACGCAUGCCUCGGCGAGGUAAUUCUUGGACCCAAGGUGAUGAAUUUUGUACGUCUGCUUGCAGGGUGCAAUUUCGAUUGUUUUGGCAAAAGAGGAGCCCAUCGGUGCGUUCGGGAUGUUGACGAAAUGGUUUCUUACGACCCGUCUUGAAACACGGACCAAGGAGUCUAACAUGUAUGCGAGUAUUUGGGUGGAAAACCGCGUGCGAAAUGAAAGUGAGCGAUGUGAAGACCGCAAGGUCCGCAACAUUGACCGACUAUUCUUAGGAAUGGUUUGCGUUAGAGCACACAUGAUGGGACCCGAAAGAUGGUGAACUUUGCGUGCGCAGGGUGAAGCCAGAGGAAACUCUGGUGGAGGCUCGUAGAGAUACUGACGUGCAAAUCGUUCUUCUGACGUGCGUAAAGGGGCGAAAGACUAAUCGAAGACCAUCUAGUAGCUGGUUUACAC